rnacentral:rRNA from 1 species
UACGGAGGGUGCAAACGUUGCUCGGAAUCAUUGGGCGUAAAGCGCACGUAGGCGGCCUGAUAAGUCGGGUGUGAAAGCCCUGGGCUCAACCCAGGAAGUGCACUCGAAACUGUCAGGCUUGAAUAUGGAAGAGGGUCGCGGAAUUCCCGGUGUAGAGGUGAAAUUCGUAGAUAUCGGGAGGAACACCGGUGGCGAAGGCGGCAUCCUGGACCGGUAUUGACGCUGAGGCGCGAAAGCCAGGGGAGCAAACGGGG